CGAUAACGAUAACAGAAGACCAGUCUUCGAAGAAAUGCAACCAACCAACAACGUGCCAAUCUCGUGCCCAGCAGAGCAGUACGUGGCGGCGUUCAAUUAAACGGCGCGAUGAGGGCGUUCUACCUGGCACUGAUCAAACGAAAGCACACCUGAAAAUAGCACCCCAACAACAAUAACAACAACCCAGCACCUAUACCAACACAUCACCAGAAAAUGGUGCGCGAUGUAUCGAAAUUUUCACUUUGUUGUUUGGCUGAUUGGCGGCUGUAAACGAGAGCAGCAGUCAUCCGCCCUUGAAAAGGCACAGGAUGCGGGAAUCGAUUAAUGCAUUGUCACCUCGUAAUUUUGGAGCGGCGUAUUCUGGUUUUCAGUUUUUUUUUUAUGUAACUGUAAAUGUAUCAGCAUGUAGAUUGCGAGUAAACACGCGCCGGUGAUACUUUUUCAAAAUCAUAUUUGUUGU